rnacentral:rRNA from 1 species
GUAGGUGGCAAGCGUUGUCCGGAAUUAUUGGGCGUAAAGCGCGCGCAGGCGGUUCUUUAAGUCUGAUGUGAAAGCCCACGGGCUCAACCGUGGAGGGUCAUUGGAAACUGGAGAACUUGAGUACAGAAGAGGAAAGCGGAAUUCCACGUGUAGCGGUGAAAUGCGUAGAGAUGUGGAGGAACACCAGUGGCGAAGGCGGCUUUCUGGUCUGUAACUGACGCUGAGGCGCGAAAGCGUGGGGAGCAAACAGGAUUAGAUACCCUGGUAGUCCACGCCGUAAACGAUGAGUGCUAAGUGUUAGGGGGUUUCCGCCCCGUUAGUGCUGCAGCUAACGCAUUAAGCACUCCGCCUGGGGAGUACGGCCGCAAGGCUG